AUUGAACGCUGGCGGCAGGCCUAACACAUGCAAGUCGAACGCGUGGCGGACGGGUGAGUAAUGUCUGGGAAACUGCCUUAUGGAUGGGGCUAACUACUGGAAACGGUAGCUAAUACCGCAUACCAUCAGAUGUGCCCAGAUGGGAUUAGCUAGUUGGUGGGGUAACGGCUCACCAAGGCGACGAUCCCUAGCUGGUCUGAGAGGCUGACCAGCCACACUGGAACUGAGCCACGGCGCAGACUCUUACGGGAGGCAGCAGUGGGGAAUAUUGCACAAGGGGCGCAAGCCUGAUGCAGCCAUGCCGCGUGUAUGAAGAAGGCGUUCGGGUUGUAAAGUACUUUCAGCGGGGAGGCGUUACCCGCAGAAGAAGCACCGGCUAACUCCGUGCCAGCAGCCGCGGUAAUUC
rnacentral:rRNA from 1 species